rnacentral:rRNA from 1 species
UACAGAGGUGGCAAGCGUUGUUCGGAAUUACUGGGCGUAAAGGGCGCGUAGGCGGCCUUCUCAGUCAGACGUGAAAUCCCCAGGCUUAACUUGGGAACUGCGUCUGAUACUGGAAGGCUUGAAUCCGGGAGAGGGAUGCGGAAUUCCAGGUGUAGCGGUGAAAUGCGUAGAUAUCUGGAGGAACACCGGUGGCGAAGGCGGCAUCCUGGACCGGUAUUGACGCUGAGGCGCGAAAGCCAGGGGAGCAAACGGG